rnacentral:lncRNA from 1 species
AUGGCCAAGUCCAAGAACAACACCACACACAACCAGUCCCGCAAAUGGCAUAGAAAUGGCAUCAAGAAACCCGGGUCGCAAAGAUACCAAUCUCUUAAGGGGGUUGACCCCAAGUUCCUGAGGAACCCUUGCCAAAAAACACAACAAGACAGGCCUGAAGAAGAUGCAGGCCAACAAUGCAAAGGCAGUGAGUGCGCGCGCAGAGGCCGUCAAGGCCCUGGUGAAGCCUCAGGCCAACAAACCCAAGAUGACAAAAGGGCCCCAGCUACAAACUCUGCUGUCUGGCUUUCACCAUUCACCCCAAGCUUGGGAAGCAUAUUCGAAGCUACAUGGCCAAGGGUCAGAAGCUCUGCCAACCAAAGCCCAAGGUUCAAACCAAGGCAGAGGCCAAAGCUCCAGCUAAGGCCCAGGCUUCAGCUCCAGCCCAGGCUCCUAAG